rnacentral:tRNA from 1 species
AAGAAUUAAAAUGAAUAAUCAUUACUGUUAGGUUAGAAGCCUAGAAAUUUAAUUCUUA